rnacentral:misc_RNA from 1 species
GAUGAAGGAACGCAGCGAAAUGCGAUACGUAAUGUGAAUUGCAGAAUUCAGUGAAUCAUCGAGUCUUUGAACGCACAUUGCGCCCCCUGGUAUUCCGGGGGGCAUGCCUGUCCGAGCGUCAUUGCUGCCCUCAAGCACGGCUUGUGUGUUGGGCCCCCGUCCUCCUCCCGGGGGACGGGCCCGAAAGGCAGCGGCGGCACCGCGUCCGGUCCUCGAGCGUAUGGGGCUUCGUCACCCGCUCUUGUAGGCCCGGCCGGCGCUUGCCGACACAUCAAUCUUUUUUCCAGGUUGACCUCGGAUCAGGUAGGGAUACCCGCUGAACUUAAGCAUAUCAAUAAGCGGAGGA